ACUGCGACCCCAGGUCAGGCGGGAUUACCCGCUGAUUU
rnacentral:rRNA from 1 species